rnacentral:rRNA from 1 species
AGAGUUUGAUCCUGGCUCAGAAUCAACGCUGGCGGCGUGCCUCAGACAUGCAAGUCGAACGAUUAAACUUUCCUUCGGGAAAGAUAUAAAGUGGCGCACGGGUGAGUAACACGUAAGUAAUCUACCUUCGAGUGGGGAAUAACAUCGGGAAACCGAUGCUAAUACCGCAUAACGCAGCGGCAUCGCAAGAUGACAGUUGUUAAAGGAGCAAUCCGCUUGAAGAGGAGCUUGCGGCAGAUUAGCUAGUUGGUAAGGUAAUGGCUUACCAAGGCUUCGAUCUGUAUCCGGUCUAAGAGGACGGUCGGACACACUGACACUGAAUAACGGGUCAGACUCCUACGGGAGGCAGCAGUCGGGAAUUUUGGGCAAUGGGCGAAAGCCUGACCCAGCAACGCCGCGUGAAGGAUGAAGUAUUUCGGUAUGUAAACUUCGAAAGAAUGGGAAGAAUCAAUGACGGUACCAUUUAUAAGCUCCGGCUAACUACGUGCCAGCAGCCGCGGUAAUACGUAGGGAGCAAGCGUUGUUCGGAUUUACUGGGCGUAAAGGGCGCGUAGGCGGCAAUUUAAGUCAUCUGUGAAGUCUCCGGGCUUAACUCGGAACGGUCAGAUGAUACUACUUUGCUAGAGUGCAGAAGGGGCAAUCGGAAUUCUUGGUGUAGCGGUGAAAUGCGUAGAUAUCAAGAGGAACACCUGAGGUGAAGACGGGUUGCUGGGCUGACACUGACGCUGAGGCGCGAAAGCCAGGGGAGCAAACGGGAUUAGAUACCCCGGUAGUCCUGGCCCUAAACGAUGAAUACUUGGUGUCUGGAGUUAUUAUCGCUCCGGGUGCCGUCGCUAACGUUUUAAGUAUUCCGCCUGGGGAGUACGCACGCAAGUGUGAAACUCAAAGGAAUUGACGG